rnacentral:rRNA from 1 species
UACGGGGGGGGCAAGCGUUGUUCGGAAUUACUGGGCGUAAAGGGCCAGUAGGCGGCCAACUAAGUCCGACGUGAAAUCCCAAGGCUUAACCUUGGAACUGCGUCGGAUACUGGAUGGCUUGAAUUCGGGAGAGGGAUGCAGAAUUCCAGGUGUAGCGGUGAAAUGCGUAGAUAUCUGGAGGAACACCGGUGGCGAAGGCGGCAUCCUGGACCGGUAUUGACGCUGAGGCGCGAAAGCGUGGGGAGCAAACAGG